rnacentral:rRNA from 1 species
UACGUAGGGGGCAAGCGUUAUCCGGAUUUACUGGGUGUAAAGGGAGCGUAGACGGCAGAGCAAGUCUGAAGUGAAAGGCGGGGGCCCAACCCCUGGACUGCUUUGGAAACUGUAUGGCUGGAGUGCAGGAGAGGUAAGUGGAAUUCCUAGUGUAGCGGUGAAAUGCGUAGAUAUUAGGAGGAACACCAGUGGCGAAGGCGGCUUACUGGACUGUAACUGACGUUGAGGCUCGGAAAGCGUGGGAGCAAACAGGG